rnacentral:lncRNA from 1 species
UGAUCGUCGGCUUGUUUGUGCACAUUGCUCAGUAUUUGCUUACCUCUUGAUACAAAUAGCCUUUACUAUUCUUCUGGAAGAGUACAAGCCAUCUGAAAAGGGGUUGUGGGAAUUCUGUAAUCAGAAUGACACCAUUCUUCCUUCAACUGAUAUUACGAACUCACAUGGUCAUUAUUGUUGCAUCAAAUGUUUUAGUGGAAAAGAAAAAGGAAAUCAUGGAUGUUAUAAUGCUGAAUUACUGUCCGUUCCAUUUUCUUCCCUGAAGAAAAACAUAUCAACUUGAAAGUUGUGGAUAUUAGCGAAAUCUGAUAUAUAGAUAGUAAAACUUUGCAUACAAUCAAAAGUGGUUCCUAGGCUUUUUGUUUCUUGUUAUUAUAUUCGUUCUGUUUUUGUACCAUGUG